AGUCGAACGGUAACAGGAAGCAGCUUGCUGCUUCGCUGACGAGUGGCGGACGGGUGAGUAAUGUCUGGGAAACUGCCUGAUGGAGGGGGAUAACUACUGGAAACGGUAGCUAAUACCGCAUAACGUCGCAAGACCAAAGAGGGGGACCUUCGGGCCUCUUGCCAUCGGAUGUGCCCAGAUGGGAUUAGCUAGUAGGUGGGGUAACGGCUCACCUAGGCGACGAUCCCUAGCUGGUCUGAGAGGAUGACCAGCCACACUGGAACUGAGACACGGUCCAGACUCCUACGGGAGGCAGCAGUGGGGAAUAUUGCACAAUGGGCGCAAGCCUGAUGCAGCCAUGCCGCGUGUAUGAAGAAGGCCUUCGGGUUGUAAAGUACUUUCAGCGGGGAGGAAGGCGACAGGGUUAAUAACCCUGUCGGAUAGACGUUACCCGCAGAAGAAGCACCGGCUAACUCCGUGCCAGCAGCCGCGGUAAUACGGAGGGUGCAAGCGUUAAUCGGAAUUACGCGGCGUAAAGCGCACGCAGGCGGUCUGUCAAGUCGGAUGUGAAAUCCCCGGGCUCAACCUGGGAACUGCAUUCGAAACUGGCAGGCUAGAGUCUUGUAGAGGGGGGUAGAAUUCCAGGUGUAGCGGUGAAAUGCGUAGAGAUCUGGAGGAAUACCGGUGGCGAAGGCGGCCCCCUGGACAAAGACUGACGCUCAGGUGCGAA
rnacentral:rRNA from 1 species